rnacentral:lncRNA from 1 species
GGAGGUUGAGGCCUACUCUUUCCUUGGAAAAAAAAAAGAGGCUUCUGUCUGGUAAAUAAUGUUGCACUGGAAUAGUUUAGCAGAGUUUUAUAGUACAUAAACCUUAUUCAGCAUCCUCACAUGUAACAGAGCAUCAUAACACUGACAUCUUGAAGCAUUUCUGGGCAGUGGAGUGUUAAACGGCCCCGGCAAGAGUGGCUCCCCCCACACGCGCUCGCUGCCAGCCAAACCAAAUUGCACUUUAACUCCAGGAAAGAUGAAAUGCUGCCUCUCAUGAGGGUUGCUGUCUAUCCGGCAUCUCGCCGACAUUUAUGGAAGAAGAACUUGCCGUUGCGCGGCUUCCGCACGACUGACAAGCUCUGAAAAACGCAACGAAUGAAGGAGAAAUUUCAGUGUCUGGGGGUGGAACUCAGGUGUCUUUGAGUGUGUUUGUGCUUCCUUUGUCAAGCUGCCUUUGAAGAGAGUUUGUAAAGUUGGCAAAAGUUUCCUGACAGAAGCGAAGACCAGACAACAUUGUGAAUGUGUGUUUUCAUCCCGUGUGUGAGGAAAAGGCCUUUUCACAGCAUCUGCGCCGACGUAGCUUGUUGAGUACAGUGCUGAACACACUUCAAAGAGUCUGAUCUGAGGCGCUUCGACUCUGACCUGGUGUCAGCCGACGCACUAAUGGGCUAUAUGGAGAUUUCCAUCACAGGAGGUGUGCAGCACAGUGUUUUUCAAAUCUCAUUUUAAAACAAACACAUGCACCAAUGCAACGAUGCCAUUACAGUGAACUUUUUACUUGACCCC